rnacentral:rRNA from 1 species
ACGGGUGAGUAACACGUAUGCAAUCCACCUGUAACAGGGGGAUAACCCGGAGAAAUCCGGACUAAUACCCCAUAAUAUGGGCGCUCCGCAUGGAGAGUCCAUUAAAGAGAGCAAUCUUGGUUACAGACGAGCAUGCGCUCCAUUAGCCAGUUGGCGGGGUAACGGCCCACCAAGCGACGAUGGAUAGGGGUUCUGAGAGGAAGGUCCCCCACAUUGGAACUGAGACACGGUCCAA